AAUAUUACAGCCAUGCCCACAUAUUUUUUAUCCGAAUUGUGUCCAAAAGCAAAAAGUUCAACAACAAUAUAAAGCAAAAAACUUAAACAGAUGUGAAACUGGAGUUAAACCGCGAAAAAAGGUACUUUUUUAAAUACUUCCUGUAGAUCCAUCCUAUCCUACCUUUUUAGUUACAAAAAACACCACGAUAUUUUUCACCCAAACCCACUGGUUCUCGAUCUCUGUCUAUGAUCGGAAAUCAUAUUCCUUGAUUUAAAAUUCGGUGGAAUAUUAUUAGCUUAUAACCUAUUUCAGCUGCAAAUUUUUGCAUUUAUUGCAUCCCAUUAAUAAUACCUGAUACUCAAAGGCGGAAAAUCUGUGGCAUCCACAAUUUCAAAGAUAAGAGACAAUCGAAAACGCAUUUGAUUAAGUUCAGUUGCAUAGUAAUAUUUAUUGCCAAUGGUUCAGUUCCACUUCAAAAUAAGCUAGUAGUACAUACAUAUGUACAUAGAACAGUUAUAUAGGUUACUGCAUCUGCGAUUAGCAGACGUUCAAGAUCACCCACGAUAUAGAUAUGCCAUUGGGAAUUUUAUUACAUAUGUAUAUUUAAGUGCAAAAAAAUGUUUAUAAUGUAUUUUUAGAGUGUUAAUACUACGGGUUUUCUCCCAAGACUCUAAGACCAGAGAGCAGUUCUACAAUUGAAACCAUUCCUGGAAUCGCCUGUUCUGGUCUAAGGCCCUUACUGGAUAUUUUCAUUUUGUACUAUGUAAUGGUAUAAAUAACAUAUAAGUUACCAUGUAAAUAUACUAGAUUUAAUUUACCUAGGAACUAAGUUGGCUCCAAAAUGCCCCAAUGUUUCCAGUUUUUCCUUUGACUUUGGCUCUCCAGUAGCCUUGCACAUUAACACUUCAGAUUUACAUAUAGAAUAAAUAGAAACACAGAUUCCACAGGAAAUACAAAAGAAAUAAAGGUAAAUCUAAUACUGUUGAAUAAUUUUCUAAAUGGAAGGAAGCGGGCUCUG